rnacentral:rRNA from 1 species
UUUUGGACAAUGGGCGCAAGCCUGAUCCAGCCAUUCCGCGUGAGUGAAGAAGGCCUUCGGGUUGUAAAGCUCUUUCGCAAGGGAAGAAAACUUACUUUCUAAUAAGGAGUGAGGUUGACGGUACCUUGACAAGAAGCACCGGCUAACUACGUGCCAGCAGCCGCGGUAAUACGUAGGGUGCGAGCGUUAAUCGGAAUUACUGGGCGUAAAGUGUGCGCAGGCGGCUUUGUAAGUCAGAUGUGAAAUCCCCGAGCUCAACUUGGGAACUGCGUUUGAAACUACAAGGCUAGAAUAUGUCAGAGGGGGGUAGAAUUCCACGUGUAGCAGUGAAAUGCGUAGAGAUGUGGAGGAAUACCAAUGGCGAAGGCAGCCCCCUGGGAGUAAUAUUGACGCUCAUGCACG